UACGUAGGGUCCGAGCGUUGUCCGGAGUUACUGGGCGUAAAGGGCGCGCAGGCGGCGGUGCUGGCCCGGCGUGAAAGCCCCCGGCCUCAACCGGGGAGGGUCGUCGGGGACCGCACCGCUUGAGGGCGGGUAGGGGCCGGUGGAAUGCCUGGUGUAGUGGUGAAAUGCGUAGAUAUCGGAGGAACAUCAGUGGCGAAAGCGGCUUCCCUGGACCAGUACCGACGUUCAGGCACGAAAGCGUGGGGAGCAACAGG
rnacentral:rRNA from 1 species